rnacentral:rRNA from 1 species
AGUGGCGGACGGGUGAGUAACGCGUGAGAAUCUGCCUUGGGGUCGGGGACAACCACUGGAAACGGUGGCUAAUACCGGAUAAGCCGAUUGGUGAAAGAUUUAUUGCCCGAAGAGGAGCUCGCGUCUGAUUAGCUAGUUGGUGAGGUAAGAGCUCACCAAGGCAGCGAUCAGUAGCUAGUCUGAGAGGACGAUCAGCCACACUGGGACUGAGACACGGCCCAGACUCCUACGGGAGGCAGCAGUGGGGAAUUUUCCGCAAUGGGCGAAAGCCUGACGGAGCAAGACCGCGUGAGGGAGGAAGGCUCUUGGGUUGUAAACCUCUUUUCUCAGGGAAGAAGCUCUGACGGUACCUGAGGAAUCAGCCUCGGCUAACUCCGUGCCAGCAGCCGCGGUAAUACGGAGGAGGCAAGCGUUAUCCGGAAUUAUUGGGCGUAAAGCGUCCGCAGGUGGCGAUUCAAGUCUGCUGUCAAAGCACGGGGCUUAACUCCGUAAAGGCAGUGGAAACUGAAUAGCUAGAGUGCCGUAGGGGUAGAGGGAAUUCCCGGUGUAGCGGUGAAAUGCGUAGAGAUCGGGAAGAACAUCGGUGGCGAAAGCGCUCUACUGGACGGCAACUGACACUCAGGGACGAAAGCUAGGGGAGCGAAUGGGAUUAGAUACCCC